CUCAGCUGCUGUGUAGAAAUGGUCUGACUGGUCGCUGUUACUGGGAGGUCGAGUGGAGAGGAGACAUUUAUAUAUCAAUCAACAUCCUCCUCCUCCUCCUCCUCCUCCUCCUCCUCUGUCUCUAACAGAGUAGCAGUGUAUGUGGACUGUCCUGCUGGCACUCUGUCCUUCUACAGAGUCUCCUCUGACACUCUGAUCCACCUCCACACCUUCAACACCACAUUCACUCAAACUCUUUAUCCUGGGUUUAGGUUCCGGUCUCGUGGUUCCUCAGUGUCCCUGUGCUGAGUGGAGUGUAAAGAGUGUCUCCUGUUAGAGAAACACUCAGACUGUUGAGCAGAUAGUUCAGUCUGUACAUGUCUGUCUCUUUCACUCAGAAACACGUUUUCAGAUUCAUAGAUUCAAUCAGUUGAUGUUUGAAACUGUUCUAAAUGAUUCCUUGUAAACUUCUUCCUCUUCAGUCCUUUAAAGAUGGAAGCUCCCAUUAUUCCAGGAUCCCCAUGUUGUUUUUCUGUCUUUUUCCAGUCAAAGCUUCACAUUGAAUCUCAGUGUGUUGUGUUUCUCUGAAGCUCAGUUCACAACCAGCUCCUCUGCAUUUUCAACAAGUCUGAGCUCAUUAAAAUGAAUCCAAAUGUUUGAUUUCUCUUUCCUAAUGGGAUGUUUCCAAACUUUCCACAUGCUCUUACUGUUUCACUCAUUGUUGGAAGCUCAUCAUUUGAAAAUGUUUCAGCCAUAGAAGCUGAAAAUACUGUCUCGAUAGUUUUGAAUGCAGUUCUAACCAGUGUGCUGGGUUUUUAAAAAUCCGUGGCUGCUGCCUGAUGUUGGGCCCACAGAGGAAGACGGCUCACUCACUCUUCUUCACUUCCUCCUUAAACAUGUGGAAGGAGAGCAAAGUGCUGCCAGACUCUUAUUUCUGACAGGAACAGAAGAAACCACAGCAAACUGUUCCAGUUCUUCAUCUUCAUCACAAUCUAUUUAUUUCUGAUGGUGUCUUCAGUCUGAGGUUUGAAGUUUCCAUGUCUGUGUGAUGUGUGAAGGCUGCUGGUUAAACUGGGACUCACUGUUUAAAGCACUGAGUGCUCAUAGAGAGAUGCUCCAUGAGUCCCAGUACAGACUACAAACAUGGUGGAAACUUAGCUUUGAUAUCCACACACUCUGCACGUCUCUGAGUAACUGUGAUGAAGAUGUGCAGAGAUCUGUGUCCAAACAGGAGAAAGACUGUAAAGACUCUGUGCUUCUAACAGCCUCUGUUAACAUAUGUGAGGCUGUUUGUUGUUGUUGCCAUGGAGCUUUGCACUGUUUGGGUCAGCAGGUCAUGUGAUCAGGUUUGUU
ensembl:lncRNA